rnacentral:rRNA from 1 species
GACGAACGCUGGCGGCGUGCUUAACACAUGCAAGUCGAACGGUAAGGCCCUUCGGGGUACACGAGUGGCGAACGGGUGAGUAACACGUGGGUGAUCUGCCCUGCACUUCGGGAUAAGCCUGGGAAACUGGGUCUAAUACCGGAUAGGACUCCGGACUGCAUGGUCUGGGGUGGAAAGCUUUUGCGGUGUGGGAUGGGCCCGCGGCCUAUCAGCUUGUUGGUGGGGUGAUGGCCUACCAAGGCGACGACGGGUAGCCGGCCUGAGAGGGUGACCGGCCACACUGGGACUGAGGUACGGCCCAGACUCCUACGGGAGGCAGCAGUGGGGAAUAUUGCACAAUGGGCGCAAGCCUGAUGCAGCGACGCCGCGUGAGGGAUGACGGCCUUCGGGUUGUAAACCUCUUUCAGCUUCGACGAAGCGAAAGUGACGGUAGGUGCAGAAGAAGGACCGGCCAACUACGUGCCAGCAGCCGCAGUAA